UGCGCAGUGAGCUCAACCUGGUUGAUAGCCAGUGAAUGUCUUCAACUACCUGGCUUUUGUUUUGGGUUUUGUUUGCUUUGACUCAAGGUCUUGAGGAGCCCAGGCUGGCCUCAGGCUGGCUAUGUAGCCAAGGAUUCCCUCAUACUCUCUAUCUUCCUGUCUCCACCGCCCAAGCAGUACUGGGGAUGCUUGGACAGCACUUUCUCGCUGAGCUGUUUCCCCACCCAGCCUUCCCUUGCCAAGUGUUUAUUUUCUUCCCAGGGACUGCAAAGGCAGGUGAUUGUCAUGUGAGGCUCGGUGGCAACCCUGUUAACCGGUUGUUCAUUAAUGUGAUCCCUCGGCCAGAUCUUGGAGAGCUUUCCCAGACAGAUGUUAACGUUUGUCCGAGAUGCCUAGAUGCGAGAUGCCUAGAUGUGGCGUCUAGCCCUCACACUUCCUGUCUUGGUGUCUUUAGGCAAAUUAUUCCUUCUCUCCUAGACUCUCCUUUCUUCACCUGGAGGAACUUGGUGAUUAUCCGAGCCGCCUUUUAGAUGUGCUCGUGAGAAUUAAAAAAAAAAAAA
rnacentral:lncRNA from 1 species